UUAAGUGGAAGCGCGAAACAUUUAUAGCUAAUAAAAAGAAAUUAGAAACUUCGAAAUUUGUUUAAAUUUGUGGUCUGUUGAAGUUACAAAGUACCCGUGGCAAUCGUGUUUCAUACAGAGAACAUUUGUGUGUGAUGUUACAGGGUGAGCACUGAGAUUCCUUACCAAUUCACUUAUGUUUCAACUAAACAUGAAGGGAUCACGAGGGGAUAAAACAUCAUUUGACAGCGCUGUGCAAAUUAAUAACUGACAGUGUAGUAAAGGCGCAUGAUGUUACAGAAGCCUUUGCCCUCAGCACCAUUGCCAGUAAUCCUUGCACCUAAGAGGAAAGAAAGGCUGGAUGCAGUGUCAUUUAUUAAGUGUUAAGUAAAUGUUUUUGUAAUUUUGUUUCUUUUGCUGUUUGAGACAGUUUUCUAUCUUCUCUUAGAUGUUUUGUUGGUUUAAUUAGUCUUUUAGUAUUCACAUUUUUAUGGUAUUUUAGUAUUAUGCACUACACCCAGUUUUUAUGUGCAUUUUGUAUUGUUUGUUUUGAAAUAUGAAUAAAUUAUUGGUUAUUACAACUUUUAUGUAAUUUGUGUCUGCUUUACACUUGAUGUUGUAGACAUUUUAAACUUUGCAGAAUUUACGUUGAACACAACACGUAUUUUCCAUGGGCUUAUAUCCAUGUCUUUUCCAAGUGGUAAAAAACACGUGGAUUCCAUGUGUCAAAUCCACGUGGAAUUGGACUUGCCUUUUACGCCUAAAUUACCCGGCUUUUCCACGUGGUGAAAACACGUCUUCUUUACGUGGUUUCCACGAGUU